UACGAGUGCCUCAAGCGUUAUCCGGAAUUACUGGGCGUAAAGCGAGUGUAGGUGGUUGUCGUAGUCAGGUGUGAAAGCCUUGAGCUCAACUCAAGAAAUGCACUUGAUACUGGGCAGCUAGAGGACCGGAGAGGAUAGUGGAAUUCCCAGUGUAGUGGUGAAAUACGUAGAGAUUGGGAAGAACACCAGUGGCGAAGGCGGCUAUCUGGACGGUUUCUGACACUAAGACUCGAAAGCGUGGGGAGCAAACAGG
rnacentral:rRNA from 1 species